GGGAGGGAGGGAGUUUACAAGGGUUUUCUAUGGUGGGGAGGUAGCCAAAAGAGAGGGGAAACUGGAAUACUCGCGGGGAGGUAGAAAGUUUGUGAGUGUGCGAGUGAGCUAGCGAGUGAGUUUUGUUCGUCGAUUAGACGAAGAUGAAACGCGAAGAGGAAGAGAGGACGACGAGGAGAAGGAGGGUGAAGAGGUAAAGGAGGAGAAGGAGGAGGAGGAGAAGUUGGAAGCGUACGACUCUGCUUGUGCGCGCGCGCACCUCUCUCUCUCUUUCUUUCUCUCUCUCUCUCUCUCUCUUUCUCAGUAUGUGUAUAGGGAGGGAGGAGGGUAUGUGUUUGUAUUUGUGUGUUUGUCGUACGAACGACGAGUAAACUUCCAACGAGUAAAAGAGAAAGACAGGUAUAUAAAUACAUAUAUGUAUUACAUAUCUUUCUGUAUAAUGUGUAUAAGUAUUAGUAGAGUAAGGCUUCCGUACAGUGUAAUACACGUUACCAACACACAUGUACGAUUUAGUUUCGUAUGCGUUUUACCACGGGGGGUUUCGAGAGUAAAGUAAAAGAGAGAGAACAAGAGAGUAAAAAAUAAUAAGAGUAAAAGAGAAAGAAAAAAAUGAUGUGUUAGUUGACAACGAUGAUGACGAAAACGACGACGAUGACGACCCAUGACGAUGAGGAGGACAACAAGUUUUAUGGUAAAAUACUAGGAUGACUAUGACUAUGACUAUGACUAUGACGAGGAGUACGACGACGACGAUGAGGACGAGAACGGGCACGACCACUGGCACGAUACCGCGUGGGGGUUGCACAGAGACCCCCUGGUGGGGCUCGGACUCCCGACCCCACAGUCCCCCGCUGGAAAUGAUAUCAGUCGCGACUCGGUCGAGGGAGCCCCAACAGCACGAAACUACGCUCGGUGCCCCUCUGACGCGAACCAAAAAUUGUUUGGUGACCCCAACGUGUCACGCUUGUUCAAAAAAA